rnacentral:rRNA from 1 species
UCGGAUUUNGAAUUUNAUUNGCGCCGCGAAUNNGCCCUGCUUAACACAUGCAAGUCGAACGAAGAUUGUAGUAAUACGGUCUUUAGUGGCGAACGGGGUGAGUAACGCGUGGGUGACCUGCCCCGAAGUGUGGGAUACCAGUCCGAAAGGACUGCUAAUACUGCAUAACAUCCAGGAGAUUAGAACCUGCUGGAUUAAAGGAUUUUUUCGCUUCGGGAGGGGCCUGCGUCCCAUCAGCUAGUUGGUAAGGUAAUGGCUUACCAAGGCGAUGACGGGUAGGGGACCUGAGAGGGUGACCCCCCACAAUGGAACUGAAACACGGUCCAUCACCUCGGGUGGCAGCAGUAGGGAAUAUUAGUAAUGGGCGAAAGCCUGAACUAGCAACGCCGCGUGUGCGAAGAAGGCCUUCGGGUUGUAAAGCACUUUUUGAGAGGACGAGGAAGGACGGUACUCUCAGAAUAAGUCUCGGMUAACUACCGUGCCAGCAGCCGCGGUAAUACAAG